UCCAACAUUUUUUGCCCAAAUUAUUAAGGAUUUGCAUCAAUAUUUUCUUGAAAUCUGUUGCUUCAUGAUUAUUACACCCAUAUGGGUAGGUCUAUUUAAUUUCCAAGUCUUUUCUUAUGUUUCGCAAUUUUCGUCCAAGUAGCCCUUUAAUAGAGGGGUGUCCGUAAAAGAGAGGUGACCGUAGUCAGUGUUCUCGAUAUCUGAUAUUAUAGUCCCGAAUAUUCAUCUUGUACUGAAUCAAAUUCACCAAAGAUACAUAUUUAUAUGUUAGUUUAUGUGAUAUUUUAAACUUUCACGCAUACAAAAUAUUGAUGUGCAUAUUUAUAAUGUAUUAUUCAUUUUCGUAAUAAAUGCAGUGUGAACGUU